CACGGCCAAAGAGGGANCUUCGGGCCUCUCGCGUCAAGAUAUGCCUAGGUGGGAUUAGCUAGUUGGUGAGGUAAUGGCUCACCAAGGCGACGAUCCCUAGCUGGUCUGAGAGGAUGAUCAGCCACACUGGAACUGAGACACGGUCCAGACUCCUACGGGAGGCAGCAGUGGGGAAUAUUGCACAAUGGGCGAAAGCCUGAUGCAGCCAUGCCGCGUGUAUGAAGAAGGCCUUCGGGUUGUAAAGUACUUUCAGUUGUGAGGAAGGGUGUGUAGUUAAUNNNNGCGCAUCUUGACGUUAGCAA
rnacentral:rRNA from 1 species